UCAGGCCUCAGGUCAUGUAAUUAGACUGUAUGGGAAUCUCGAGCCUUUUAAUACCUGGAGCAGCGUGACCGCCCUGUAAGCUGGGUCCCGGUCUGUGCCAUUGUGUCCUUUUGACAUUCUGCUCCGUUAUCUGGCUAGUGUGAGUGACUGCCCUGUAAUCAGGGUGCCAGUCACCUCCGCCUGUCUUUGGAGGGGCAUUGAGCUCUUUGUUAAACUGAGCAAUGUGACCGCCCUGUCACUGGGGUCCGGGUCUCUGCCCUCUUGCUCAUUUGGCUUUACGCUGUGCUCUGCCCCACUAGUCAGCGUGACAACCCUGUAAUUAGGGUCCAUGUCACAAGUCUCUCUAGAAUGGGACCUAUCGAGCUCUUUGGUACUUUGACAGCUGGACCUUCCUGUAAUUCAGGUUAUGGUCUCUCCUAUUGGGCUAAUGCCAGCGACCACCCUGUAAUCGGGGUACAAGUUGCAUCUCGCUUUUGAAAUCUGGGGGAUUAGAAACUUUUCAGUAACAUGGGCAGCUUGACCUCCCUGUAACUAGGGUUUGCGUCUCUGAGGCCCUGAGGGUCUCCGUUAGCUGGUUAGUGAGGUGUGACUGCCCUGUAAUCAGGAUGCCAGUCACCUCCGCCUGUCUUUGGAGGGGCAUUGAGCUCUUUGUUAAACUGAGCAAUGUGACCGCCCUGUCACUGGGGUCCGGGUCUCUGCCCUCUUGCUCAUUUGGCUUUACGCCGUGCUCUGCCCCACUAGUCAGCGUGACAACCCUGUAAUUAGGGUCUAUGUCACAAGUCUCUCUAGAAUGGGCCCUAUCGAGCUCUCUGGUACUUUGACAGCUUGACCUUCCUGUAAUUCAGGAUAUGGUCCCUGCUCUUUGGCUAAUGCCAGCGACCACCCUGUAAUCAGGGUACAGGUUGCAGCUCGCUCUUAAAAACUGGGAGAUUAGCAUCAUUUCACUAACAUGGGCAGCUUGACCUCCCUGUAACUAGGGUGUGUGUCUCCGAGGCCCUUUGGCUCUCUUGGCCUCGUGCUGUCUUCACAGCCUGCUGCGAACGACCACCCUGUAAUCAGGGAUCGGGUCUUUGCCCUCUAGUCUCUAGGCACUAGGCCAAAUGCAGCCACUGCCCUGAAUGAGCACCCUGUAAACAGGGUACAGGUCUCAUCAGCUACUAUAUAUGGUGCCCCCAUGAGACUGUGUCCAGACUUCCGGCCCUUCAAGCAGCGCUUCCAACAUGCCUGGAAAUCUGCAGCCAAGUCUCCUGCUUUCUACUCCCUUCUUGGACUCUUGGACAGCUGACAUGCUAUUGGUGGCAUCUUGAAGCAUAAGUGGAGAAGAAGGAGGUGUCAGUACCAAGGCAUAGCUGUGGAUCUGAAAUGCAGAGACCUUAAACACACAAGUUCUAUGGAAUGAUCACUUCCUAUUAUUAAUAAGUCAUCAUUUCCUACUGGAAGUACAAUGAUGUGACUGAAGGGAGGGCAUACAUUUGUAUUUUCCACUCACCUUCAAUUCUGCCCCCCAAACUCCUCAUAUAAAGUUAAGGUUCACAAAAUUAACAUUUACUUCAGGUAACACCUAACUUGUGUAUUUCUCACACAUUUCUAAAAGGAAGCAAAGAAAGCUAAAUGUUCUGGCAAGUGGCAGUUACUUCCUGUACUUCACAGCUUUCAAACACCUACUCUUCUUAAACGGUCACACCAACCAAAGUGUACCACACAUUCAAUUUUAACUUUGCACCUAUUGUGUCAGAAGUUAUAGUGUUUUUAGUAGUUCUGUCCAUUGGUGGACGUGGCAAUAGUGGUGUUUUAAUAGUCUUUUAUGCUGAUUGAAUUCAGAGGAUGAUGAUGUGGAUGUUUAGGUAGGCAUUUUUCUGUUAAGUCUUGGUAUUUGGGUAGAGGUGCAGUAUUCUGUGAUUAUGAUUGUUUUUCUGGUAUUGGUUUAAUGUGAAUUGUUGGCAGUUUUAGAUGUUUUUGUAUACGUACAUUAGUAGAUGCAUUUAGAGGGCAAAGCUGAGGUUGCCUGUUUGGUGCAAUUUGAUUGGUGUGAAAGUUAAUUUUGGGUAUGUAUUUGAAAUCCCUGAGCUUUGAAUUUGUAGCUCAACAGGGAUGCAGGACCCACUUGGCUACCUCAGUUCUUACUGUCAUUCCUAAUUCCAAAAUCUUGGAUGAAGAUGACCAGGCAGAAUAAAGAUAUUUCCAGAGACUUUCAAGAGGGUAGCAUUUCUACAGCUCUAGGGGGUCCCUUAAACCUUAUUGAGCUUUUCAAAGUGCAAUAAUUGUGGAAAACUUCUACUUCUGCCACUUAAGUGUUGAACAAUAAUCUGUAUUAAAGGAUUUACACUGGUAGUUAAUUCUGUUCUGUAUUAAGAUGAUUUUGCUAAAAUCACCACUUUAUGAUGUGUGAAAUGAAUUAACUAGGUCUGAUUAUACCUAUUUGAUAAAAGUUGGACUACUCCAUAUUAAAUGCAUGGAUUGAACUUUGAUUGCCAUAUCACAUUUCUUUGCUUUCUGUAACUCCUUAUUUAUUAAUGUAUUUAUUACGAUUUAUGUAAUUCAAUUAAUAAAAUGUAUGCAUUCAA